AGAGUUUGAUCAUGGCUCAGAUUGAACGCUGGCGGCAGGCUUAACACAUGCAAGUCGAGCGGAAACGAGAAUAGCUUGCUAUUCGGCGUCGAGCGGCGGACGGGUGAGUAAUGCUUGGGAAUAUGCCUUAUGGUGGGGGACAACAGUUGGAAACGACUGCUAAUACCGCAUAACGUCUACGGACCAAAGGGGGGGAUCUUCGGACCUCUCGCCAUUUGAUUAGCCCAAGUGAGAUUAGCUAGUUGGUAAGGUAAAGGCUUACCAAGGCGACGAUCUCUAGCUGGUUUGAGAGGAUGAUCAGCCACACUGGGACUGAGACACGGCCCAGACUCCUACGGGAGGCAGCAGUGGGGAAUAUUGCACAAUGGGCGCAAGCCUGAUGCAGCCAUGCCGCGUGUGUGAAGAAGGCCUUCGGGUUGUAAAGCACUUUCAGUCAGGAGGAAAGGUUAGUAGUUAAUACCUGCUAGCUGUGACGUUACUGACAGAAGAAGCACCGGCUAACUCCGUGCCAGCAGCCGCGGUAAUACGGAGGGUGCGAGCGUUAAUCGGAAUUACUGGGCGUAAAGCGUACGCAGGCGGUUUGUUAAGCGAGAUGUGAAAGCCCCGGGCUCAACCUGGGAACUGCAUUUCGAACUGGCAAACUAGAGUGUGAUAGAGGGUGGUAGAAUUUCAGGUGUAGCGGUGAAAUGCGUAGAGAUCUGAAGGAAUACCGAUGGCGAAGGCAGCCACCUGGGUCAACACUGACGCUCAUGUACGAAAGCGUGGGGAGCAAACAGGAUUAGAUACCCUGGUAGUCCACGCCGUAAACGAUGUCAACUAGCCGUCUGUGGACUUGAUCCGUGGGUGGCGUAGCUAACGCGCUAAGUUGACCGCCUGGGGAGUACGGCCGCAAGGUUAAAACUCAAAUGAAUUGACGGGGGCCCGCACAAGCGGUGGAGCAUGUGGUUUAAUUCGA
rnacentral:rRNA from 1 species